UGGACGGUGUGUAAGGGUGCGUGGACGGUGUGUAAAGGUGCGUGGACGGUGUGUAAAGGUGCGUGGACGGUGCGUGGACGGUGUGUAAAGGUGCGUGGGACGGUGUGUAAAGGUGCGUGGACGGUGUGUAAAGGUGCGUGGACGGUGUGGUGGACGGUGUGUAAAGGUGCGUGGACGGUGUGUAAAGGUGCGUGGACGGUGUGUAAAGGUGCGUGGACGGUGUGUGGACGGUGUGUAAAGGUGCGUGGACGGUGUGUGGACGGUGUGUAAAGGUGCGUGGACGGUGUGUAAAGUGUGCAGGUGUGUAAAUGUGUAUAAAGGUGUGUAGAAGGUGUGUACAUGAGAGGAUGUAUGGGUCACGGGUCUCUUGGCUAACAGUGAGACGGUGGUGUAUAAAUAGCAGCAUGGGAGCGAGAGGUGAGCUAACAGCAUUUUGAGUCUGCAGGAAGAAGAGAGUGAUGCAAUUAGAGGAAAUGAUGAGGCAAAAGACGAGAGAAAACGGAAAGAGCAAUGCUGCUACAGCUCCCGAUCAGAUGGGAUGAAGAGGAAUAAAAUACGAGACGGCAGAUCAUUAGCGGAUCAUCAUCCAGCAGUUAAUGACGCAAUCAGGUUUAAUAACAAUCACAUAGCCAAAUAAGGAGGAAGCCUGCCGUGAACAUCUACACAACAGAAGA
ensembl:lncRNA